UUAGUUGAAGCCAAACUAGAGGCAUAUUAUUGUUAAUAAUAAAAUUGGAUUAUUAGUUCCCAACUAAG
rnacentral:tRNA from 1 species